rnacentral:lncRNA from 1 species
GGUGGAAGGACUGUGGCACGCCCUGCGCUGGGAGCAGGACAGGGAGCUACUUAAAGAGGAGACGGCUCACCCUCUGCCACCAUUCUGGAUCCAGCGUUUCCAGGGUAACUUUAUGUUGAAAAUGAAUGUAAGGUUUCAGUCGGCAGGUCCCUUUUUAACCGGAUCAUGCACUAGAGAACGCCACACACGGAGGGUUUGCUCAGGCUCUGGGCUCGGCCCAGGACCUUCCUGCCCCAAGCACCUCACUGCAAUCUCUCACAGGCACUUCUGUAAGGGGAACUGCACAGUAUUUAAGACAUUGCUGGUGAAAACAGACAACUCUACCAUGUACAGAAUCUCACUCCUAAGCUCACCACCCAGGCCAAUGUACUCCAGAAAAAGGGAGAAGGCUUCACCACCUCCCUGUGUGAUUUCAUGUUCCAAGCUCUGUGUCUCAGGGUGUAGGAAGCCCUCUGUUGAAUAAGUCCACCCUCCCUGGCCACAGCCUUAGUCCUACUUGCUGUUUGGGAACAGGAGAUCCCUGCCCGGUGCCUACAGAGGGGUGGGCAGAGGCUGAAACCCUCCUCGAUCUUCCCUCCCAGGCCCCAGGAGCCGAAGAUUCCUCUUCUCACGACAUGAAGCUCCCCUCCCCUCCUCCAGUCCUCAGCUUCCCUUUCUAAGAGAGAAGAGACCGGGGCCUGGGCAGUGAGUGGACAGGACUGUCCCCCUGUCCUCCUCUGUAGGUGCACGCCCCUACAGAUGACACCUCUGGGUCCUCCACACCCUCAGCAGGAGCUCCAGGGCAUGGCUGGUCUCCCAGCCACACGGGAAGCCACAGGAUCCCCAUGGGACAUCCGCAGCCACGUGCCACACUCAGUAACCACCCGUGGGCUUGUGUGCAAAUCCCUGAAGUCAGUGAUGGCUCAAAUGUCGUCUCUGCCACCGUGGAGGUUGGCCAUGGGGGAAAGGUGACGGGGGCAGAAGGGUGAGGGCUCCAAGUGGCUCGCCACGAGUGUUUAGCCACUAAAGAAACCUCCAGGGCCAUGCCACCCAGGCCUCCGUUUCUGUAGCCUCUGCUGCUCUCUGGCAUCUGCACGGUUGCCCCGAAGCCGCUCCGUGCCGGCCCUCCCUGAGCUGCAUAGCGCUGGGGGGAGGAGGCAUGGCCACAGUGGGCUGCAUUCAGGAUCUUGAAAGCCACCGAAGACAUGGCUGGCUCUCAGCCCUCAGGGAGCCUCUUCCCCUGCUGGGCACCAGGCUCCCAGCAUCUGGGAGGCAGCCUCUUCAUCUGGCUGCUGGUGGAGACCUGAGCCCAGCCCCAGGGUCCUCAGUCCUGCCCCUUGUCCUCCGCAAGCUCUCACUACAUCCUACCUGUGUCCAGGGACCUCGGCCCAUGCAUCCGCCCAGAUCCCAGCCUACCCGAGAGCAUGCAUCCCCACCUGGACCAGCAUCCGACACAGCCGAGGGCUCCCCUGACCCACAUAAACCUUGUUAAUAUUG